UGCAUGUUGAACAGGAUCCAGGGGCCAAGUGCCAGCUGUGCUGUUUCAGAUGACAAAUGCAUUACCUGUGCUGGGCAGAGGUGCCUUGAGUUCUUGGCCUCAGGGUGACAGAUGCUUGACAUGACUGCGUACAUUUGAAAAGGAAGAGACAUCCACUUCUACAAAAAUCAUAGAAUGUCCUGAGUUGGAAGGAUCCUGUGGAAUAUCUGGAAAGCAAAGGACACGUAGUGAACAAUCCAGGCUCGGACUGCGCGGACUUAAUCUGCCUGGGAACAAGAGGGCCUCAAGGAUGUUGCGAGUUAACACCGAUGUAUGUAGCUAUUAAUAACAGCUGUGAUUUUGUAGUUCCCAAGGCUUACAAAGCGGCACGGUACGAACUUACUGUGGGAACGUGUGGGAUGGCAUUACGCCUUCCUGAUAAGUUGCAUUCCAAGAUUGGCCACAGGUGCUACUCUGUCAACAGGGGCCGCAUCCCGUACCACCGGCGGGAGUGUCUCGUUACAGCCUAGCAAAACCAGGCGGGAGUUGCCGAUGCUGCUAGUAGCUAUCCUUGGGAUAAAGCCCAAGGCCGUGCUGACCAACUAAUAAUAGGCUUGUAUAUAAUAAACAGUAGAGGCUUGUGUGUGAUAAGGUGGUUGCAGAGCUAUAUUAACUGCGCUGUGUCUGUAAUAAACUGGCAUUUGCUUGGUCAUAUUGGUCAUGUGCACUGUCCGUGACUUCUGCGUCAGCAGGAUCCCACAAGGAUCAUUGAGUCCAUCUCCUGUCCCUGCAUAGGACAACCCCAAAUUCACACCAUGUGUCUGAGGGAUUUUGACAUGCAUGUUUUCCUGCAAAACUUUAUGUGUCAUAGUGUAAAACAAUAUGCCAUAAAAGAACAACCUCCCCUUGGAAAGAAUAAGUAUUGUCUAUGUUUAAUUAACGUGAAUCUAGACUUUUUUUUAAAAAAUCAACCAUUGUUUGAUAUUUUUAUAUUUUACCUAAGCUUGGAUAUCUUGGCCAUCAGCGUCAUCCAUUUAAUCAAAGACAGAUGUUCCUUUUGGAAAAAAAUAAAGGAAAGCUGGCACGAGCAAUAGCCUUGAAUGGUCCUUAGCUGACACAUGACCGUAUAUUAAUAAAAAGAAUUAGGGUACUUCAUCUGUAAAGACCACCAAGGUUCCCCGAAGAGAGGAAGACAUGCGCAGAAGAAUCUGAAGUGGAGCCAAGAGUGACCUAAUGACAUUACACAACCUAUGUAGAUUAGAAUGAAUAUGUAUUAGAUAGGCAGAAUAUAUACUAAUUUAUUGUAUAAAUAUAAUGAAGAAGCUGGC